rnacentral:misc_RNA from 1 species
AAGUCGUAACAAGGUUUCCGUAGGUGAACCUGCGGAAGGAUCAUUAAUGAGUUAGGGUCUCCGGGCCCGACCUCCAACCCUUUGUUGUCACGAACCAAUUGUUGCUUUGGGUGGACCGCCCGCGAGGCUGCCGGUUUAGGCCCGGAUGCGCCCGCCGAGGAAAACCAAAACCUGUUUAUCAAACCGUACGUCUGAGUAAAAUGAUUAAAUCAAUCAAAA